rnacentral:rRNA from 1 species
CAGUGGGGAAUUUUCCGCAAUGGGCGAAAGCCUGACGGAGCAAUACCGCGUGAGGGAGGAAGGCUCUUGGGUUGUAAACCUCUUUUCUCAGGGAAGAACACAAUGACGGUACCUGAGGAAUCAGCAUCGGCUAACUCCGUGCCAGCAGCCGCGGUAAUACGGAGGAUGCAAGCGUUAUCCGGAAUGAUUGGGCGUAAAGCGUCCGCAGGUGGCAAUGUAAGUCUGCUGUUAAAGAGUGAGGCUCAACCUCAUAAAAGCAGUGGAAACUACAUAGCUAGAGUGCGUUCGGGGCAGAGGGAAUUCCUGGUGUAGCGGUGAAAUGCGUAGAUAUCAGGAAGAACACCGGUGGCGAAAGCGCUC